CUAUCAUGCAAGUCGAGCGAACAGAUAAGGAGCUUGCUCCUUUGACGUUAGCGGCGGACGGGUGAGUAACACGUGGAUAACCUACCUAUAAGACUGGGAUAACUUCGGGAAACCGGAGCUAAUACCGGAUAACAUAUUGAACCGCAUGGUUCAAUAGUGAAAGGCGGCUUUGCUGUCACUUAUAGAUGGAUCCGCGCCGUAUUAGCUAGUUGGUAAGGUAACGGCUUACCAAGGCAACGAUACGUAGCCGACCUGAGAGGGUGAUCGGCCACACUGGAACUGAGACACGGUCCAGACUCCUACGGGAGGCAGCAGUAGGGAAUCUUCCGCAAUGGGCGAAAGCCUGACGGAGCAACGCCGCGUGAGUGAUGAAGGUCUUCGGAUCGUAAAACUCUGUUAUCAGGGAAGAACAAAUGUGUAAGUAACUGUGCACAUCUUGACGGUACCUGAUCAGAAAGCCACGGCUAACUACGUGCCAGCAGCCGCGGUAAUACGUAGGUGGCAAGCGUUAUCCGGAAUUAUUGGGCGUAAAGCGCGCGUAGGCGGUUUUUUAAGUCUGAUGUGAAAGCCCACGGCUCAACCGUGGAGGGUCAUUGGAAACUGGAAAACUUGAGUGCAGAAGAGGAAAGUGGAAUUCCAUGUGUAGCGGUGAAAUGCGCAGAGAUAUGGAGGAACACCAGUGGCGAAGGCGACUUUCUGGUCUGUAACUGACGCUGAUGUGCGAAAGCGUGGGGAUCAAACAGGAUUAGAUACCCUGGUAGUCCACGCCGUAAACGAUGAGUGCUAAGUGUUAAGGGGGUUUCCGCCCCUUAGUGCUGCAGCUAACGCAUUAAGCACUCCGCCUGGGGAGUACGACCGCAAGGUUGAAACUCAAAGGAAUUGACGGGGACCCGCACAAGCGGUGGAGCCAUGUGGUUUAAUUCGAAGCACCGCGAAAACCUUACCAAUCUUGACAUCUUUGACCCUCUA
rnacentral:rRNA from 1 species